rnacentral:rRNA from 1 species
CUCCGGUUGAUCCCGCCGGACCCGACUGCUAUCAGAGUGGGACUAAGCCAUGCGAGUCGACGUAGCAAUGCGUGGCGAACGGCUCAGUAACACGUAGUCAACAUGCCAGGGGACGUGGAUAACCUCGGGAAACUGAGAAUAAACCACGAUAGGUCACGAUUUCUGGAAUGGAUCAUGGCCUAAAUCUACAUGGCCCCUGGAUUGGACUGCGGCCGAUCAGGCUGUUGGCGGGGUAAUGGCCCACCAAACCUGUAACCGGUACGGGCCUUGAGAGAGGUGGCCCGGAGAUGGACACUGAGAGAAGGGUCCAGGUCCUACGGGGCGCAGCAGGCGCGAAACCUUCGCAAUGCGCGAAAGCGUGACGAGGUUAAUCCGAGUGACUCCCGCUGAGGGGGUCUUUUGUCAGCUGUAAAUAGGCAGGCGAAUAAGGGGAGGGCAAGCCUGGUGUCAGCCGCCGCGGUAAUACCAGCUCCUCGAGUGGUCGGGGCGAUUAUUGGGCCUAAAGCAUCCGUAGCCGGUUCCGUAGGUCCUCUGUUAAAUCCAACCGCUUAACGGUUGACCUGCAGAGGAUACCGCGGGACUAGGAGGCGGGAGAGGCGGACGGUACUCCGCGUGUAGGGGUAAAAUCCUUUGAUCCGCGGAAGACCACCAGUGGCGAAGGCGGUCCGCCAGAACGCGCUCGACGGUGAAGGAUGAAAGCUGGGGGAGCGAACCGGAUUAGAUACCCGGGUAGUCCCAGCCGUAAACGAUGCUAGCUAGAUGAUUCAUUCGCAAGUCGCGAAUGAAGUGUCGCAGGGAAGCCGUUAAGCUAGCCGCCUGGGGAGUACGGUCGCAAGACUGAAACUUAAAGGAAUUGGGCGGGGGAGCA